UGGGGAAUAUUGCGCAAUGGGGGGAACCCUGACGCAGCCAUGCCGCGUGAAUGAAGAAGGCCUUAGGGUUGUAAAGUUCUUUCGGUAUUGAGGAAGGUUGAUGUGUUAAUAGCACAUCAAAUUGACGUUAAAUACAGAAGAAGCACCGGCUAACUCCGUGCCAGCAGCCGCGGUAAUACGGAGGGUGCGAGCGUUAAUCGGAAUAACUGGGCGUAAAGGGCACGCAGGCGGUUAUUUAAGUGAGGUGUGAAAGCCCCGGGCUUAACCUGGGAAUUGCAUUUCAGACUGGGUAACUAGAGUACUUUAGGGAGGGGUAGAAUUCCACGUGUAGCGGUGAAAUGCGUAGAGAUGUGGAGGAAUACCGAAGGCGAAGGCAGCCCCUUGGGAAUGUACUGACGCUCAUGUGCGAAAGCGUGGGGAGCAAACAGGAUUAGAUACCCUGGUAGUCCACGCUGUAAACGCUGUCGAUUCGGGGGUUGGGGUUUAACUCUGGCGCCCGUAGCUAACGUGAUAAAUCGACCGCCUGGGGAGUACGGCCGCAAGGUUA
rnacentral:rRNA from 1 species